rnacentral:rRNA from 1 species
ACACGUAGGGGGCGAGCGUUGUUCGGAAUCAUUGGGCGUAAAGGGCGUGCAGGCGGUCCUGCAAGUCCGGCGUGAAAGACCCCGGCCCAACCGGGGGGACGCGCUGGAAACUGCGGGGCUUGAGUACAGGAGGGGAUGCCGGAAUUCCAGGUGUAGGGGUGAAAUCUGUAGAUAUCUGGAAGAACACCAAUGGCGAAGGCAGGCAUCUGGCCAUGUACUGACGCUGAGACGCGAAGGUGCGGGGAGCAAACAGGUUUAGAUCCCCGGGUAGUCCGCACAGUAAACGAUGUGCACCAGGUGGCGGGGGGUCGACCCUCGGUACCGUAGCUAACGCAUUAAGUGCACCGCCUGGGGAGUAUGCUCGCAAGGGUGAAACUCAAAGGAAUUGACGGG